GCAGAGCUUGCUCUGUGGAUCAGUGGCGAACGGGUGAGUAACACGUGAGCAAUCUGCCCCUGACUCUGGGAUAAGCGCUGGAAACGGCGUCUAAUACCGGAUACGAGCUGCGACCGCAUGGUCAGUAGCUGGAAAGAAUUUCGGUCAGGGAUGAGCUCGCGGCCUAUCAGCUUGUUGGUGAGGUAAUGGCUCACCAAGGCGUCGACGGGUAGCCGGCCUGAGAGGGUGACCGGCCACACUGGGACUGAGACACGGCCCAGACUCCUACGGGAGGCAGCAGUGGGGAAUAUUGCACAAUGGGCGAAAGCCUGAUGCAGCAACGCCGCGUGAGGGAUGACGGCCUUCGGGUUGUAAACCUCUUUUAGCAGGGAAGAAGCGAAAGUGACGGUACCUGCAGAAAAAGCGCCGGCUAACUACGUGCCAGCAGCCGCGGUAAUACGUAGGGCGCAAGCGUUAUCCGGAAUUAUUGGGCGUAAAGAGCUCGUAGGCGGUCUGUCGCGUCUGCUGUGAAAACCCGAGGCUCAACCUCGGGCCUGCAGUGGGUACGGGCAGACUAGAGUGCGGUAGGGGAGAUUGGAAUUCCUGGUGUAGCGGUGGAAUGCGCAGAUAUCAGGAGGAACACCGAUGGCGAAGGCAGAUCUCUGGGCCGUAACUGACGCUGAGGAGCGAAAGGGUGGGGAGCAAACAGGCUUAGAUACCCUGGUAGUCCACCCCGUAAACGUUGGGAACUAGUUGUGGGGUCCAUUCCACGGAUUCCGUGACGCAG
rnacentral:rRNA from 1 species